UGCUCUGUGGCUUAGUUGGUUAAAGCGCCGGACUGGCGUGGGUUCGAAUCUCACCAAAACAA
rnacentral:tRNA from 1 species